UAGCAUAUCAUAGCGAGGAAAAGAAACUACAGGAUUCCCCUAGUAACUGCGAGUGAAGCGGGAAAAGCUCAAAUUUAAAAUCUGGCAGUCUUUGGCUGUCCGAGUUGUAAUCUAGAGAAGCAUUAUCCGCGCUGGACCGUGUACAAGUCUCCUGGAAUGGAGCGUCAUAGAGGGUGAGAAUCCCGUCUUUGACACGGACUGCCAGGGCUUUGUGAUGUGCUCUCAAAGAGUCGAGUUGUUUGGGAAUGCAGCUCAAAAUGGGUGGUAAAUUCCAUCUAAAGCUAAAUAUUGGCGAGAGACCGAUAGCGAACAAGUACCGUGAGGGAAAGAUGAAAAGAACUUUGGAAAGAGAGUUAAACAGUACGUGAAAUUGCUGAAAGGGAAACGCUUGAAGUCAGUCGCGUUGGCCAGGGAUCAACCUUGCUUUUUUGCUUGGCUUACUUUCUGGUCGAUGGGUCAGCAUCAAUUUUGACUGGUGGAAAAAGUUCAAGGGAAUGUGGCAUCUUCGGAUGUGUUAUAGCCUUUGUUCACAUAUAUCAGUUGGGAUUGAGGAACUCAGCACGCCGCAAGGCCGGGUUUUUAACCACGUACGUGCUUAGGAUGCUGGCAUAAUGGCUUUAAUCGACCCGUCUUGAAACACGGACCAAGGAGUCUAACAUGCCUGCGAGUGUUUGGGUGAAAAACCCGAGCGCGUAAUGAAAGUGAAAGUUGAGAUCCCUGUCGUGGGGAGCAUUGACGCCCGGAUCUGACCUUUUGUGACGAUUCUGCGGUAGAGCAUGUAUGUUGGGACCCGAAAGAUGGUGAACUAUGCCUGAAUAGGGUGAAGCCAGAGGAAACUCUGGUGAAGGCUCGUAGCGAUUCUGACGUGCAAAUCGAUCGUCAAAUUUGGGUAUAGGGGCGAAAGACUAAUCGACC
rnacentral:rRNA from 1 species